UGGCCGAACGUGACCUUUUCAAUAUAUAUAUAUUAAAUAUAAAAAAAUUAAGAAACAAAAAUUAACACAUUGGCAAACUGCGUAAACUUAUUAUUAUUAUUAUUAUUAUUUUGUUUUCCAAAGGAAGAAGAGAUUGAUAUUUUUUCACUCCUUAGAAAUGCCACGUCCGUAAUUCCCGCUACUCUCCCAACCGAUCCUUGUUGAGUCAAGAAAGAAAAUUUCCGAUGAAUCCCACAGCAACCCACUCGGAAUGUCAGAUCCUUUCUCUCUCUCUCUCUCUCUCUCUCUCUGUGUUCAAGCUGCGAGAACACUCAUGGUCUCAUUAUGCUUCCAUGCCGAUUCAUGAUGUUGAAGAUAGAAGUGGUAUUGGUAGAAUUCAUGAUGGAACAUUAUUUCUGUGUUCAUUUAUCUGUGAGGUGUUGGUCUUGGCCAUGACUAGCCCCACAGUUUUGUUUGCUUUGUACUUAGCUUAGUUAGUUUUCUUUCUGGCAAAUAUACAUACAUAAGAAAAACAAAAAAUGCAUAAUAGAUGGAAAUUGCCUUGUGUUGUAUGACUCACAAUAUCACACAAAAUCAUAACUUAUUCGUCCA